rnacentral:misc_RNA from 1 species
GGAGGAAGAAGCCUAUACCCAGCAAUGGGAUGUUACAGUCAGAAUCAAUAAAAAAAUAAUAAGUUCAAAUGUGAUGAUCCCAUUUUGCGUAAUUGGUUAAAUACACAUUUGUAAAAAAAAUUACCUUGAUGUAUUAAGUGUAUACCACAUAUAUACCUCUAGACAAUAUACAAAAGUAUUUAAUUUACAAGGGCACAUGUAACGUAAUUAUGUAAUGUAUAUUUAUUUUUCUGGCAUAAUAAUAUAUGAAAAAAAUGAAUUUUUUAUUACAUCGAAAACUUAAUUUAACGCCUAAAAUGCUAAAGGUAGCAGUGACUUACUAAACAUCAAUAAUGGAGGUAUCAACCGUUUUGACUUCAAAGAGAAUUGGAUCAAGGUGCCAAUAUUCGGAAGUCCCUCAUUUCCUUGAAUUUGUUGUUGCUCGCUUCAGGCAUUAAAUUUUCUUCGACGUUACAUCCCGGGUACGUAUACAAGUAUGUUCUGCCCUUCUCUAUUUUAUACAGGAGUGAAAAAAGGUGUUAUCUAUUUAAGCUUGCCAUUCAUCUGUAAUGUAAGUUAAAUGAUUAUGUAAUAUAUAUUUAUUAUAUUACAUUAGUAUUUUGAGGUUAUCAAUGUCGAUGAGAAGAAAGUUAAAAAUGAAAUAAAACCAAAUUUAGUAUUCUUACUGUACAAACUAUCGAUUUGCUUUUUAAAACUGAAUUUUUCAAUUAAUAUUUUGUGACCUAUUCAAUAUCAUUUACUUGACAAGAUGUUCGGUAUUUACGUGGUAAAUUUUACACUUACAGCAACGUCCAGGUGGAGUCAAUUUGUGCGUAUUUUGUCCCUAGGUAUCCAUUAUCCGCGGCCCGCCAAAGCGCCCAGGAUUCUGAUAACGUUUAAAAGGU